rnacentral:rRNA from 1 species
UACGUAGGGUGCAAGCGUUGUCCGGAAUUAUUGGGCGUAAAGAGCUCGUAGGCGGUCUGUCACGUCGGCUGUGAAAUCCCGAGGCUCAACCUCGGGUCUGCAGUCGAUACGGGCAAACUAGAGUAUUGCAGGGGAGACUGGAAUUCCUGGUGUAGCGGUGAAAUGCGCAGAUAUCAGGAGGAGCACCGGUGGCGAAGGCGGGUCUCUGGGCAAUAACUGACGCUGAGGAGCGAAAGCGUGGGGAGCAAACAGG